AACGAACGCUGGCGGCAUGCCUAACACAUGCAAGUCGAACGAAGCCUUCGGGCUUAGUGGCGCACGGGUGCGUAACGCGUGGGAAUCUGCCCCUUGCUUCGGAAUAACAGUUAGAAAUGACUGCUAAUACCGGAUGAUGUCUUCGGACCAAAGAUUUAUCGGCAAGGGAUGAGCCCGCGUAGGAUUAGGUAGUUGGUGGGGUAAAGGCCUACCAAGCCGACGAUCCUUAGCUGGUCUGAGAGGAUGAUCAGCCACACUGGGACUGAGACACGGCCCAGACUCCUACGGGAGGCAGCAGUGGGGAAUAUUGGACAAUGGGGGCAACCCUGAUCCAGCAAUGCCGCGUGAGUGAUGAAGGCCUUAGGGUUGUAAAGCUCUUUUACCAGGGAUGAUAAUGACAGUAACUGGAGAAUAAGCUCCGGCUAACUCCGUGCCAGCCGCCGCCGUAACAC
rnacentral:rRNA from 1 species